rnacentral:rRNA from 1 species
UACGAAGGGGGCUAGCGUUGCUCGGAAUCACUGGGCGUAAAGCGCACGUAGGCGGCUUACUAAGUCAGGGGUGAAAUCCUGGAGCUCAACUCCAGAACUGCCUUUGAUACUGGUGAGCUUGAGUCCGGAAGAGGUGAGUGGAACUGCGAGUGUAGAGGUGAAAUUCGUAGAUAUUCGCAAGAACACCAGUGGCGAAGGCGACUCCCUGGACAACUGUUGACGCUGAGGUGCGAAAGCGUGGGGAGCAAACAGG